CUGUGUGUUGCUUAUGAAGCACCUCGUGGGGAGUUUUGGUCAGAGACACUUCAUGGCCGCAUCACUUCUCCAUCUUUCAAACCACCGGGUUGACCGGCGUGUGCUCCGGUCCUCGGCGGAGAAAAGGUCACAGUGAUGCAGUACAGCAGACAAUGUCUGCACUCAGCAUCUCUGAAGAACAAAAGAAGUAUCUGGAUUGUAACUUCAAAGGCUGGGAGUUGAAUCCACCUCUAGGUUUUUGGUAACAAAAGAGCACGUCACCUAGCUCAGGAUCCUCCAGUUCUCCUUCAUGAUGGCAUAGGAAGACACGGUGCCGGACGACAGCACAACCUUCCUAGCCCCUCUGCGAGUGUGAUCUGACCUCAGGGCCUGUCCAAAGGCCCCCUGAAGCAGCAGAGUGAGGAGCUCCUCCACCUGGACCAGGUAGAGGGAAGAGACACAAACUCCACAGCAGCCAUCACCGUCCGAGUAUCCACCACAUGCAGCCGGAGUAUCUUCCUGUCUGAGGAACCCAGUGAUGGUCCUUUGGCCGUAGACUCCUGCCUCAGCAUCCCUGACAUUCUGCACACACAGCAGGUAGGCCAGGUGAGCUCUCUCAUAUUUGAGAUUGAGCGCCUCCGUCAGCUGCUGGACGUGUCCUCUGGGGAUCUGCCGCUGCGCCUCAUCUCAUCCAGGACACAUUUGCAGACGGCCUUUUUGUGCGUCAGGAAGGCCGGCACGAUGUUGCUGAAGCCCCGGGGUAGCUUCUCCAGCCACUGGGGCUUGUCAGCAUGCCAGUACUUUUUGCAGACCUUGCAGGUGAGUCGAGAAGCUAAAAUAUAGUACUGGCCGCUUGUCCCAAGGAUGACUCUUGGCCUUCCAGUGCCAGAAGAAACAACCUGAGGGUUCGGAGAGCCAUAGAGACAGGGCAAGACACCAUUGUUUCUCACCUUCUCCGUGAUCGCAUGCUCUGGCUUCCAAAUGAAAUAUGGAUGAAGCUGAUAGUACUUGGGUGAAGGCAGGUCAGAGAUUGAGUCUAUGAGCUCAGGCUGAGGCGGAUAACGCCACAGGGACAACAUGUUCAUAAGGUGUCGCACGGGACUUGAACCUGGCCACAGACCCAAUGUUUCCAACUCAGUCUUCAUCCAAAUGUUCUGCUGGUGCGAGCAGUUCCAGUGGGCAACAUCCUGACUAUAGCCCGGGACAGAGGCUGCAGGCUGGUGUGCUGCGACCAGAGGGACAGGAGGCGCUGGACAAGGCAGAUCUGUGAAUCACCGUAGUACAUACACAACAAGAGAACAUGUAAUAAAGCCUUAAAUAUGUGACUGCCAUGAUUAAAGCGUGUCACAGAUAUCAAUACCUUCAUCGAGGACAGCGUCUUGCGUGGCCUUUGAUGGUUGAAGGUCCCACCUCUCUCCUCCUCUUCCACCUUUUCCAUCAGGUUACUGGUGUAGCCGACAUCAUUCACAUGGAAUGAAACUGUAAUAAAUAUUCCCCCAUCACCUCGAGUCGGGCGGACCCUUGCCCUCCCCUCUGAAGGACCUCAGUGAGAGCAUUUGUCCUCACAUGCUUCUGAGGGGCAGACUUGUCCUGAAGGGAAGGAUUUUUUUUGAUUCUCAUUCCCUCCUCUGAAGGGUCCUGUCGCAGGUGGCCAGAUGGACCCUUCCUGAGAGACAUCCUUAUCUUCCCUGGGAAAAGUUGGUCUCCUUCCUCCUGCACACAGAAAAACACUGAUUGUAAUGUUUUGGUCACAACUUUUAUAUUACAUGACCCGACGGAGAGGAAGGUGGACAGGCAGGCAGAUGUAUUACUUCACUGUACAUGUGGUUGAUUACAACAAUAGUGAAUCCUUUCAGUCACAAAGCACAUUGACUACUGUUGGAGCUCUACAUCAGUUUAAGUCAUUUGGUCAGCUUUCUGUCCCCAGAACUAAACAUGGAGACGUUCAGUUAUGAUGCUCCAAACAUCUGGAACAAACUCCCAGAAACCUGCCGGUCCGCUGCAACUCUGACGACUUUUAAAUCUAGGCUGAAGACUUUUCUUUUUGCCGCUGCUUUUAAUUGAACUAUUCAUAUCUGAAACUGCACUGUAACUUUUAUUCAGGUAUUUUUUCUUUUAAUGUUAAUUUUAUUAUCUUUGCUUUUUAAUGACUGAUUUUAAAUGCCAUUUUCUUAAUGUCUUUCAUUUUUGUAAAGCACUUGAAAGGUGCUAUAUAAAUAAACGUAUGUAAUUUAGCUGUUUGUGUUAAUGUGAAAUUAAUAAUUGUUUUAUUGUAAUGACUUUUGUUGUAAUUAUUUAAGUUAAGCAAAGCCAUUUUUAAAGGUAGUUUUGGGCACCAGCUGAUCAGGUUUUUAUUGGAGGUGGUGGUGUGAUUGCUGCACCAGAAUGAAAUGCCACAGGUGAAACCAAUGUUCUUUAUAUGUUGGAUUAUUGGAAUACAACAAAAAUAAAUGGAAAAAACCAC